CCUACGGGGGGCUGCAGUGGGGAAUAUUGCACAAUGGGCGCAAGCCUGAUGCAGCCAUGCCGCGUGUGUGAAGAAGGCCUUCGGGUUGUAAAGCACUUUCAGCGGGGAGGAAGGCGUUAAGGUUAAUAACCUUGUCGAUUGACGUUACCCGCAGAAGAAGCACCGGCUAACUCCGUGCCAGCAGCCGCGGUAAUACGGAGGGUGCAAGCGUUAAUCGGAAUUACUGGGCGUAAAGCGCACGCAGGCGGUCUGUCAAGUCGGAUGUGAAAUCCCCGGGCUCAACCUGGGAACUGCAUUCGAAACUGGCAGGCGAGAGUCUUGUAGAGGGGGGUAGAAUUCCAGGUGUAGCGGUGAAAUGCGUAGAGAUCUGGAGGAAUACCGGUGGCGAAGGCGGCCCCCUGGACAAAGACUGACGCUCAGGUGCGAAAGCGUGGGGAGCAAACAGGAUUAGAUACCCGGGUAGUC
rnacentral:rRNA from 1 species